GUAGCGUUGCAGUUUUGGCUGUUUUCACAAAUUGAUAUUUCUUCUCGAUAUUUGGAUUAAGGAUACCACUGGCGACAUCUAUUGGCGUGAUUUUGAAUUAAUUUGCAAUAGAUGGCGCUUUUUGCUCAGUCAAUUCAAAUAUAUUUUAUUGAAACAUUUCCUAAUGUUUUUGUUUUGAUUAUUCUAUUUUUUAAUAGAAUAUUUUCAGUGUUCAGGAGAUUGUUUUCAUCAUGGUUUUUAUUAGUAUUUGCUUUUUACCUAAGCGGCGAAACGAAACGUCUUGCGAUGUCGAUGACUCGCAGGCUGUCAGUUGAGCUGUCAAAUCACUUUGGAAUUUUGGUCGAUCUUGCGCAACCGCAAUUUUAUUGUUUUCGGGGAUGUAAUCCCCUUUUGUUUUAAAUCGUGUGAUGCGGAAUGCAUCCACGAUAAUUUCUUAAUAUAAUUAAAAAUAUUCACACAUGAGAAAUUUCCUAAACGUUAUGUUGGACGAGGGCUGGGAUGCUGAAAACUGCGAGUGAGGUUUAAAUUAGCGAGCAGUUUUCGUAAGUAUUUCUUUCCCAUUGCGGUUUUUUUCAUAACCUAAUGCCACGUUCCACAUGUGAUCCUGACACUCGUGUUUUUCGUUUCAGAUGCGGGAAUUUCAGAUUUCAUAAUUUCAUAAUUUCAAAUUUCAUAUUUUACGAUUUUACAUUUCAUAUUUUAGAUAUUUCAAUAUUUCAUAUUGAUUUCUAUAAUUAUUUCUCCUUUCUAAACUGCUGAUCUCUUCGCAUUUCCUCCUUGUCAUCAAACCUCUGUCUCUGCAAGAGUUUGAACGCUUUCCUGUCGAGAAAAUGCAAGAGCUUCAUCUGGCACUGCGCGCUUGAGGCCGUGGAGGACGCUGCUUGUAGCCUAAAAGUGUGCGAGACCCGUUGGACCCCGGAAGAAGAGAGGAACGUUCAGGGUAACGGCUUAUAACCGCAUGGCUUCCAAGGUACCCACUUUUCCAUCCUUCAAGUAGGAGUCUUUCCGACCUGACAUCGCGCAGUUAUCUUAACUAGUAGAGUCUUUUAAUAUUUAGGCUGAGUUUUAAGAAAUUUGUAGUGGCAAUAAUAUUCACCAAACCGAACCUAAUUAACGACCCUGAAUCCCUUGAGAUUGGCACUAUUACAGUAGUUAUUAUAAUAUCGUAAUUGUUAACUAUAUACGAGCAUACGAGAUAAAAAUAAAUUGUGUCAAUUGAAA